AUUGAACGCUGGCGGCAGGCCUAACACAUGCAAGUCGAGCGGUAGAGAGGUGCUUGCAUCUCUUGAGAGCGGCGGACGGGUGAGUAAUGCCUAGGAAUCUGCCUAGUGGUGGGGGAUAACGUUCGGAAAUGGACGCUAAUACCGCAUACGUCCUACGGGAGAAAGCGGGGGGAUCUUCGGACCUCGCGCCAUUAGAUGAGCCUAGGUCGGAUUAGCUGGUUGGUGAGGUAAUGGCUCACCAAGGCGACGAUCCGUAACUGGUCUGAAAGGAUGAUCAGUCACACUGGAACUGAGACACGGUCCAGACUCCUACGGGAGGCAGCAGUGGGGAAUAUUGGACAAUGGGCGAAAGCCUGAUCCAGCCAUGCCGCGUGUGUGAAGAAGGUCUUCGGAUUGUAAAGCACUUAAGUUGGGAGGAAGGGUAGUAACCUAAUACGUUGCUAC
rnacentral:rRNA from 1 species